UGAACGCUGGCGGUAGGCCUAACACAUGCAAGUCGCACGGCAGCACAGUAAGAGCUUGCUCUUACGGGUGGCGAGUGGCGGACGGGUGAGGAAUACAUCGGAAUCUACUUUUUCGUGGGGGAUAACGUAGGGAAACUUACGCUAAUACCGCAUACGACCUACGGGUGAAAGCAGGGGAUCUUCGGACCUUGCGCGAUUGAAUGAGCCGAUGUCGGAUUAGCUAGUUGGCGGGGUAAAGGCCCACCAAGGCGACGAUCCGUAGCUGGUCUGAGAGGAUGAUCAGCCACACUGGAACUGAGACACGGUCCAGACUCCUACGGGAGGCAGCAGUGGGGAAUAUUGGACAAUGGGCGCAAGCCUGAUCCAGCCAUACCGCGUGGGUGAAGAAGGCCUUCGGGUUGUAAAGCCCUUUUGUUGGGAAAGAAAAGCAGCAGGUUAAUACCCCGCUGUUCUGACGGUACCCAAAGAAUAAGCACCGGCUAACUUCGUG
rnacentral:rRNA from 1 species